AAAGCAACAGGGUGGCGGUGCUUUCUGUCUCUGCAGGAUCAGCUGAAGAGACCAGAACAAGGGUGCGGGGGGGGGCGGCGUCUGCGUGGGUGGCUGUGCCCCCUGGGGAGGAGGGUGCCAGAGCAGCCAUCUUCGUAGGCCGGAGGAAAGAGGCUGCCGUUCAUCUCCCCCCCCCCGCUGCCCCCCUUCUCCCUCUCUGUCAUCUGGAGCCUUGAGGGGAGAGAUGCAGGCCAUGACCUCCUCCCCAGACCUGUAGGUGAAACCGAGGAAAUGAGCAGACCUCGGUGUCCCGCUGUAAGGGACUGACCCAAGGCUUCUGUGGAAGAGGAGGAGGAGGAGGAGGAGGAGGAGGAUCUGGUGGACCCCACCCUUCAAGACAGAGGAAAGUUGUGCUUUCGGAAACAAUGUCAUGGGCGCACGGGGUGGGUGGAUGGCCGAAAGUCAAAAGGGUGUCAUCAACUGUUCCUUUCCUUAAUCCUCCUCCCCCAUAGAGCCCCCUCUUGAUUUCGGCACCCUGGGUGUUGGGGAGAGCCUCGGAAAUCCAGCUGGAGGAAAGAGUUGCCCAGCCCUGCCGGAAUGUCUUUGUCCCUCUUCUGCUUUCCGGGGGAGGGGGGGCGCCAAGUCUCGGCUGAGGGGAGGGUCCAAGCCACCGUUCCUUACACCUGAGGACUCUCUUGUCAGCAGAGGUGGGGUCCCCGUGGCCACUUCCUAGGCAUGCUUGGCUUCACAAGCCAGCCCUUCACCCAUUAUUGUGAACACAGAUGCCCUGGAGCCUCCCCUCUCUGUAAGUCGCCCCGGCCCUUCACUCCCCCUCCCUCCCUUCCUCCCUCCCUCUUUUUCUUUCUUUCUUGUCCUCUCUUGGCUUUCCAUAGGGUCCCACCCAUGGUUUCCUUGCCCUAAUCCUGACGGUACAGACCCUGUGGUGCUGGUCCCGCCUCACGGCUUGACCCAAAUCAGGGAAGGGGUUUGAUGGUUUCUGGGUGGGUGGGUGCCUUCCUGUCUAUCUGUCUUAGUUUGGGAAGCUGGUCAUAACCCACCGGGAAUCGGAGGGAUGCUUAUGGAUUGGCCAGAUCCCCCCUGAGGUGAGGGCAUCUCUGACAGAUGCCCCCCAGGGAAAUUCCAGAGUGUUCAGCCUUUCCUUGGGGGCAUGGCAGGGCCAUUGAUUUGCUCUCUAUCUGUGCCUUUUGCUGUGGUUUUGAUCCCCCCCCCGAAGGGUCAAGGGCACUCGGCCGUGCUACCUCCUUCAUGCUGCUUUU
rnacentral:lncRNA from 1 species